rnacentral:misc_RNA from 1 species
CCUAGCGAACGCCUGCCUGGGCCGGGCCUUCGGGUCUACGCACUAGCAGGUGUAUCCACAACCCGUGUUUACAUACUCUUGUUGCUUUGGCGGGCCGUGGUCUCCCACUACGGGCUCAGCUCGUACGCGCCCGCCAGAGGAUUAAACUCUGAAUGUUAGUGAUGUCUGAGAACUAUAUAAUAGUUA